AUUGAACGCUGGCGGCACGCCUAACACAUGCAAGUCGAGCGGCAGCGCGAUUAGUAGCAAUACUAAUUGGCGGCGAGCGGCGGACGGGUGAGUAACACGUAGGAACCUGCCCAGAAGUGGGGGAUAACUAAUGGAAACGUUAGCUAACACCGCAUACAUUCGGGAGAAGAAAGCUGCAGCAAUGUGGCGCUUUUGGAGGGGCCUGCGUCCGAUUAGCUAGUUGGUAAGGUAAUGGCUUACCAAGGCGAUGAUCGGUAACUGGUCUGAGAGGACGACCGGUCACACUGGGACUGAGACACGGCCCAGACUCCUACGGGAGGCAGCAGAGGGGAAUUUUGGACAAUGGGCGAAAGCCUGAUCCAGCAAUGCCGCGUGCAGGAUGAAGGCCUUCGGGUUGUAAACUGCUUUUGUACGGAACGAAAAGCCCCGGGUUAAUACCCUGGGGUCAUGACGGUACCGUAAGAAUAAGCACCGGCUAACUACGUGCCAGCCGCCGCCGUAA
rnacentral:rRNA from 1 species